AGUGAACGCUGGCGGUAGGCCUAACACAUGCAAGUCGAACGGCAGCACAGUAAGAGCUUGCUCUUACGGGUGGCGAGUGGCGGACGGGUGAGGAAUACAUCGGAAUCUACUUUUUCGUGGGGGAUAACGUAGGGAAACUUACGCUAAUACCGCAUACGACCUACGGGUGAAAGCAGGGGAUCUUCGGACCUUGCGCGAUUGAAUGAGCCGAUGUCGGAUUAGCUAGUUGGCGGGGUAAAGGCCCACCAAGGCGACGAUCCGUAGCUGGUCUGAGCGGAGGAUCAGCCACACUGGAACUGAGACACGGUCCAGACCCCUACGGGAGGAAGCGGUGGGGAAUAUUGGACAAUGGGGGCAAGCCUGAUCCAGCCAUACCGCGUGGGUGAAGAAGGCCUUCGGGUUGUAAAGCCCUUUUGUUGGGAAAGAAAAGCAGCAGGUUAAUACCCCGCUGUUCUGACGGUACCCAAAGAAUAAGCACCGGCUAACUUCGUG
rnacentral:rRNA from 1 species